UACGUAGGGUGCGAGCGUUGUCCGGAAUUAUUGGGCGUAAAGAGCUUGUAGGCGGUCUGUCGCGUCUGCUGUGAAAAUCCGGGGCUCAACCCCGGACUUGCAGUGGGUACGGGCAGACUAGAGUGUGGUAGGGGAGACUGGAAUUCCUGGUGUAGCGGUGAAAUGCGCAGAUAUCAGGAGGAACACCGAUGGCGAAGGCAGCGCCCUGGCUGUGAAUAAAGCUGACACUGAGGCACGAAAGCUGGGGGAGCAAACAGG
rnacentral:rRNA from 1 species